rnacentral:rRNA from 1 species
GUCGAGCGAAUGGAUUAAGAGCUUGCUCUUAUGAAGUUAGCGGCGGACGGGUGAGUAACACGUGGGUAACCUGCCCAUAAGACUGGGAUAACUCCGGGAAACCGGGGCUAAUACCGGAUAACAUUUUGAACCGCAUGGUUCGAAAUUGAAAGGCGGCUUCGGCUGUCACUUAUGGAUGGACCCGCGUCGCAUUAGCUAGUUGGUGAGGUAACGGCUCACCAAGGCAACGAUGCGUAGCCGACCUGAGAGGGUGAUCGGCCACACUGGGACUGAGACACGGCCCAGACUCCUACGGGAGGCAGCAGUAGGGAAUCUUCCGCAAUGGACGAAAGUCUGACGGAGCAACGCCGCGUGAGUGAUGAAGGCUUUCGGGUCGUAAAACUCUGUUGUUAGGGAAGAACAAGUGCUAGUUGAAUAAGCUGGCACCUUGACGGUACCUAACCAGAAAGCCACGGCUAACUACGUGCCAGCAGCCGCGGUAAUACGUAGGUGGCAAGCGUUAUCCGGAAUUAUUGGGCGUAAAGCGCGCGCAGGUGGUUUCUUAAGUCUGAUGUGAAAGCCCACGGCUCAACCGUGGAGGGUCAUUGGAAACUGGGAGACUUGAGUGCAGAAGAGGAAAGUGGAAUUCCAUGUGUAGCGGUGAAAUGCGUAGAGAUAUGGAGGAACACCAGUGGCGAAGGCGACUUUCUGGUCUGUAACUGACACUGAGGCGCGAAAGCGUGGGGGAGCAAACAGGAUUAGAUACCCUGAUAGUCCACGCCGUAAAACGAUGAGUGCUAAGUGUUAGAGGGUUUCCGCCCUUUA